GACGAACGCUGGCGGCGUGCUUAACACAUGCAAGUCGAACGGAAAGGCCCUGCUUGCAGGGUACUCGAGUGGCGAACGGGUGAGUAACACGUGGGUGAUCUGCCCUGCACUUCGGGAUAAGCUUGGGAAACUGGGUCUAAUACCGGAUAGGAGCCAUCUUUAGUGUGGUGGUUGGAAAGUUUUUUCGGUGUAGGAUGAGCUCGCGGCCUAUCAGCUUGUUGGUGGGGUAAUGGCCUACCAAGGCGGCGACGGGUAGCCGGCCUGAGAGGGUGUACGGCCACAUUGGGACUGAGAUACGGCCCAGACUCCUACGGGAGGCAGCAGUGGGGAAUAUUGCACAAUGGGCGCAAGCCUGAUGCAGCGACGCCGCGUGGGGGAUGAAGGCCUUCGGGUUGUAAACUCCUUUCGCUAGGGACGAAGCUUUUUUGUGACGGUACCUAGCUAAGAAGCACCGGCUAACUACGUG
rnacentral:rRNA from 1 species